rnacentral:lncRNA from 1 species
CCGAACCGCCCGCCAGCCGCCCGUUCGGCGCGUCAGUCUGCGAGAGUACGGUGGUGGGUACGGAGCGUGCGGCCGUUCCCGCGGCCUCCUCUUCCUCUCCGUUCUCCUCACUCCUACCCCGCACCCCUUUCCCUCACCCCGGCUCCGUCACCUUCCCGCCCCCCACACUCAGGACAAGAAUGCCCUGUCCGGAACAACCCAGCAGCGCCUAGAUGGCUUUGGUCACGGUCCAGCGGUCGCCUACCCCCAGCACCACCUCCAGCCCUUGCGCCUCGGUGAGUCCCUCCCGGCGGUCACUC